CUAUCCUUUACCUUAGACAGGUUUAUCAGAACAGUAUUUACUGAUGGUGAAUAUCCAGACAGAAAUUCAAUAUUUCAGUAACACAUUCACUUUUAUGAACUGAUCAUCAAGGCUUCUGGAAUUCAGUAAAGAGUUAAAAAUGAUGGUCAUGAAUACUGCUGACUUCUUUGCUCUGAACUAUUUCACUUAAGAUCAAGAAAUACAGACAAGAAUCUAAGCGUCUCAAUGGCCAUUGAGGCUGAACAAAUAACGGAUCCUUCUUGGCCUGUUGCAACUGGGAGUUUGUGGCUGGCUGUAGUACCAUGGGGUUUACACUGACUUCUGUAUUAUAUCAAGGAUACAUAUAAUAUCCCUGUAAUUUACAUCACUGAGAAUGGGUUUUCCCAAAGUGACCCUGCUCUACUUGAUGACAGUCAAUGAUGGGAGUAUUUCAGGCUGAAUUUACAGGAAAUUUUAUAAGGUAUAAUCAAAUGUCUCUUCAUGAGCUCCUGAGAGGCAAAAUGCAUUGCUGAAGCUGGACCAAAGUGCCUGGGACUGAGAUGUUUUAUGACAUUGUUCAGGGUCCUUCAGCCAAGAAGGGAAAAAGAUGGUGGCAGCUGAGAAUAUCAGUCCCAGUGUAAGUAGUUACAUUUUCAAGGAUUUCAGGUUGUGGUGACUAGCAGUUAUUCUCUAAAACUUAAUAAAUUACAGAAAAGAAUGCA
rnacentral:lncRNA from 1 species